UCGGACGUGGUGCACGGUGCACGCCCAUACAGUGUGGAAGGUGAACAUAGGUUGCGGUGGGAGGCCUGGGUUCGACUCCCAGCGUCCGAA